GACGAACGCUGGCGGCGUGCUUAACACAUGCAAGUCGAACGGAAAGGCACUGCUUUUGUGGGGUGCUCGAGUGGCGAACGGGUGAGUAACACGUGAGUAACCUGCCCUUGACUUUGGGAUAACUUCAGGAAACUGGGGCUACUACCGGAUAGCAGCUCCUGCUGCAUUGUGGGGGUUGGAAAGUUUCGGCGGUUGGGGAUGGACUCGCGGCUUAUCAGCUUGUUGGUGGGGUAGUGGCUUACCAAGGCUUUGACGGGUAGCCGGCCUGAGAGGGUGACCGGCCACAUUGGGACUGAGAUACGGCCCAGACGCCUACGGGGGGCAGCAGUGGGGAAUAUUGCACAAUGGGCGGAAGCCGGAGGCAGCAACGCCGCGUGCGGGAUGACGGCCUGCGGGUUGUAAACCGCUUUCGCCUGUGACGAAGCGUUAGUGACGGUAAUGGGUAAAGAAGCACCGGCUAACUACGUG
rnacentral:rRNA from 1 species